GGGGUUGUAGCUCAGUGGAAGAGCACUUGCCUAGCAUGUGUGAGGCACUGGGUUCAAUUCUCAGCACCA
rnacentral:tRNA from 1 species